rnacentral:rRNA from 1 species
UGCGUAGGCGGUUUAUUAAGUCAGUGGUGAAAGACGGUCGCUCAACGAUUGCAGUGCCAUUGAUACUGGUAGACUUGAGUGUGAUUGAGGUAGCUGGAAUGGAUAGUGUAGCGGUGAAAUGCAUAGAUAUUAUCCAGAACACCGAUUGCGAAGGCAGUCUGCUAAACUAUUAUUGACGCUGAGGCACGAAAGCGUGGGGAGCGAACAGGAUUAGAUACCCGAGUA